AGUGAACGCUGGCGGUAGGCCUAACACAUGCAAGUCGAACGGCAGCACAGUAAGAGCUUGCUCUUACGGGUGGCGAGUGGCGGACGGGUGAGGAAUACAUCGGAAUCUACUUUUUCGUGGGGGAUAACGUAGGGAAACUUACGCUAAUACCGCAUACGACCUACGGGUGAAAGCAGGGGAUCUUCGGACCUUGCGCGAUUGAAUGAGCCGAUGUCGGAUUAGCUAGUUGGCGGGGUAAAGGCCCACCAAGGCGACGAUCCGUAGCUGGUCUGAGAGGAUGAUCAGCCACACUGGAACUGAGACACGGUCCAGACUCCUACGGGAGGCGGCAGUGGGGAAUAUUGGACAAAGGGCGCAAGCCUGAUCCAGCCAUACCGCGUGGGUGAAGAAGGCCUUCGGGUUGUAAAGCCCUUUUGUUGGGAAAGAAAAGCAGCAGGUUAAUACCCCGCUGUUCUGACGGUACCCAAAGAAUAAGCACCGACUAACUUCGUG
rnacentral:rRNA from 1 species